UACGUAGGGUGCAAGCGUUGCCCGGAUUUAUUGGGCGUAAAGGGCGCGUAGGCGGCUCGGCACGUCCGUUGUGAAAUCGCCCGGCUCAACUGGGCGGGGUCAGCGGAUACGGUCGAGCUUGAGCAAGCUAGGGGGCAAUGGAAUUCCCGGUGUAGUGGUGGAAUGCGUAGAUAUCGGGAGGAACACCAGUGGCGAAGGCGGGUCUCUGGGCCGAAACUGACGCUGAGGAGCGAAAGCGUGGGGAGCAAACAGG
rnacentral:rRNA from 1 species